rnacentral:rRNA from 1 species
GAUGAACGCUGGCGGCGUGCUUAACACAUGCAAGUCGAGCGAUGAAGUUUCCUUCGGGAAACGGAUUAGCGGCGGACGGGUGAGUAACACGUGGGUAACCUGCCUCAUAGAGUGGAAUAGCCUUCCGAAAGGAAGAUUAAUACCGCAUAACGUUGAAAGAUGGCAUCAUCAUUCAACCAAAGGAGCAAUCCGCUAUGAGAUGGACCCGCGGCGCAUUAGCUAGUUGGUGGGGUAACGGCCUACCAAGGCGACGAUGCGUAGCCGACCUGAGAGGGUGAUCGGCCACAUUGGGACUGAGACACGGCCCAGACUCCUACGGGAGGCAGCAGUGGGGAAUAUUGCACAAUGGGGGAAACCCKGAUGCAGCAACGCCGCGUGAGUGAUGAAGGUUUUCGGAUCGUAAAGCUCUGUCUUUGGGGAAGAUAAUG